rnacentral:rRNA from 1 species
GACGAACGCUGGCGGCGUGCCUAAUACAUGCAAGUCGAACGCAGUGGGGACGGGUGAGUAACACGUUGUUAACCUCCCAUCAGAGGGGAUAACCCUUGGAUACAAGUGCUAAACCGAUAUUGAUUGAUGUACCCGUGGUGCAUUAGCUAGUUGUUGAGGUAACGGCUCACCAAGGCCACGAUGCAUAGCCGACCUGAGAGGGUGAUCGGCCACACUGGGACUGAGACACGGCCCAGACUCCUACGGGAGGCAGCAGUAGGGAAUCUUCGGCAAUGGACGAAAGUCUGACCGAGCAACGCCGAGUGAGUGAAGAAGGUGUUCGGAUCGUAAAACUCUGUUGUUAGAGAAGCGUUAUCUAACCAGAAAGCCACGGCUAACUACGUGCCAGCAGCCGCGGUAAUAC